UACGUAGGCAGCGAGCGUUGUUCGGAAUUACUGGGCGUAAAGAGUGUGUAGGCGGUGCUCUAAGUUCGGUGUGAAAUCUCCCGCUUAACUGGGAGGGUGCGCCGGAAACUGGAGUGCUCGAGCGUGGGAGAGGAAAGCGGAAUUCCUGGUGUAGCGGUGAAAUGCGUAGAUAUCAGGAGGGAAACACCUGCGGUGUAGACGCUUUUC
rnacentral:rRNA from 1 species